CUGGUCGAGUCGGCCUGCGCGGAAGAUGUAACGGGGCUAAACCAUGCACCGAAGCUGCGGCAGCGACGCUUAUGCGUUGUUGGGUAGGGGAGCGUUCUGUAAGCCUGUGAAGGUGGCCUGUGAGGGUUGCUGGAGGUAUCAGAAGUGCGAAUGCUGACAUAAGUAACGAUAAAGCGGGUGAAAAGCCCGCUCGCCGGAAGACCAAGGGUUCCUGUCCAACGUUAAUCGGGGCAGGGUGAGUCGACCCCUAAGGCGAGGCCGAAAGGCGUAGUCGAUGGGAAACAGGUUAAUAUUCCUGUACUUGGUGUUACUGCGAAGGGGGGACGGAGAAGGCUAUGUUGGCCGGGCGACGGUUGUCCCGGUUUAAGCGUGUAGGCUGGUUUUCCAGGCAAAUCCGGAAAAUCAAGGCUGAGGCGUGAUGACGAGGCACUACGGUGCUGAAGCGACAAAUGCCCUGCUUCCAGGAAAAGCCUCUAAGCAUCAGGUAACAUCAAAUCGUACCCCAAACCGACACAGGUGGUCAGGUAGAGAAUACCAAGGCGCUUGAGAGAACUCGGGUGAAGGAACUAGGCAAAAUGGUGCCGUAACUUCGGGAGAAGGCACGCUGAUAUGUAGGUGAAGCGACUUGCUCGUGGAGCUGAAAUCAGUCGAAGAUACCAGCUGGCUGCAACUGUUUAUUAAAAACACAGCACUGUGCAAACACGAAAGUGGACGUAUACGGUGUGACGCCUGCCCGGUGCCGGAAGGUUAAUUGAUGGGGUUAGCGGCAACGCGAAGCUCUUGAUCGAAGCCCCGGUAAACGGCGGCCGUAACUAUAACGGUCCUAAGGUAGCGAAAUUCCUUGUCGGGUAAGUUCCGACCUGCACGAAUGGCGUAAUGAUGGCCAGGCUGUCUCCACCCGAGACUCAGUGAAAUUGAACUCGCUGUGAAGAUGCAGUGUACCCGCGGCAAGACGGAAAGACCCCGUGAACCUUUACUAUAGCUUGACACUGAACAUUGAGCCUUGAUGUGUAGGAUAGGUGGGAGGCUUUGAAGUGUGGACGCCAGUCUGCAUGGAGCCGACCUUGAAAUACCACCCUUUAAUGUUUGAUGUUCUAACGUUGGCCCGUAAUCCGGGUUGCGGACAGUGUCUGGUGGGUAGUUUGACUGGGGCGGUCUCCUCCUAAAGAGUAACGGAGGAGCACGAAGGUUGGCUAAUCCUGGUCGGACAUCAGGAGGUUAGUGCAAUGGCAUAAGCCAGCUUGACUGCGAGCGUGACGGCGCGAGCAGGUGCGAAAGCAGGUCAUAGUGAUCCGGUGGUUCUGAAUGGAAGGGCCAUCGCUCAACGGAUAAAAGGUACUCCGGGGAUAACAGGCUGAUACCGCCCAAGAGUUCAUAUCGACGGCGGUGUUUGGCACCUCGAUGUCGGCUCAUCACAUCCUGGGGCUGAAGUAGGUCCCAAGGGUAUGGCUGUUCGCCAUUUAAAGUGGUACGCGAGCUGGGUUUAGAACGUCGUGAGACAGUUCGGUCCCUAUCUGCCGUGGGCGCUGGAGAACUGAGGGGGGCUGCUCCUAGUACGAGAGGACCGGAGUGGACGCAUCACUGGUGUUCGGGUUGUCAUGCCAAUGGCACUGCCCGGUAGCUAAAUGCGGAAGAGAUAAGUGCUGAAAGCAUCUAAGCACGAAACUUGCCCCGAGAUGAGUUCUCCCUGAGACUUAGAGUCUCCUGAAGGAACGUUGAAGACGACGACGUUGAUAGGCCAGGUGUGUAAGCGCAGCGAUGCGUUGAGCUAACCGGUACUAAUGAACCGUGAGGCUUAACCUU
rnacentral:rRNA from 1 species